UGACAACGAGAGAGAGCACGCUUGUUAUCACUCAUCCGAGGUAUAUGAUUGUGUACGGGCGUGCUCUAUGUCGUUGUCAUA
rnacentral:pre_miRNA from 1 species